GGUGACACCAGUCUGAGUCUCACCAUGAGGAGAGCUGCACGAGCAAGUCCUCCCUGCCAUCCAAGGGGGAUGCACUGCUAACCAGAGAGACAACAGUCAGUCCCUGGGUGUCUGUCAAGGUGGACGGCAUUGCAAGUAACUGUUUGCCAGUAGCCACCCCAAUACUGAACAUGGAUAUCCUUGGAUGUGUAGCUAUAGGUGUCACAGUUAGCCAAGAACAUCAUGCUUACAGAUCUGAGCAACCUGGGCAAAAAUCCUCCUUCACCAGCCAGAAGUCAUGAAACCAAAGGCAGAAAUCAGCAUGAGGAGACCAGGCACCUCAGACUGAUGGCAGCAUUAAUCUUCAGAGCCCAUUAAGGUAAAUAAGGGCUUCUUCUGUUCUGUUCUGGACUUGGAGAGAAAAUUCAGGAACAGUUGGGGCCUUUCUCUGAAAUGACAAGAAGCCAACUAUUCAUCAGAAUAUGAAGUGUUGGAAAGCCAUGGAUGGCAAUAUCCUGCAGCAGCAGGUGCAGGGGCUGGUUAGCCCGAGUGGGGGAAGAUGUAAAAGGUGAGAAAAAUAUCAACUUGUGAGCAGCAGAAUAGCUCCCAGGGCAGGCUGUGGAGAAGGGCGCUCUGAACAGAUUCUCCACUGUCCUCCUGCCACUCCUAUAUCAAUAUUUUUGGAGAGAAACUGCUUCUUGAGAAAACCAAUUAGAGAGAACUGAGUGCAAAAGCAACACUGUUAUGCAGUUACAGGCUGUGUGAUGGCAAACAGAAGACAGGUUUUACUCACUGAUAUUCCUAUUUGGUCCUGUUUUGGCAAACAGCAGAAAAUUGUGGCCUAAGCAGAACAGUAAAGACUGUAUUCUGACUCUGACUUUCUCUCACCAAAGCAGUAAAUAGAAUCUUACAGCAAACAGGCUCCCAGAUGCCCCAGCUUGCGUGGCCUUCUUACUAGCUAAGAAGGGUCUCUGUUCUCUUCCUCAGUGUCACAUAUGGAGUACUCAAUAAGCAAGUUCCUGAUUUCAAAUUUGGUAAUGGUCAGAAGCCCCAAGCAGGAAUCACUGAACUGUAAAAGCAGUCAGUCUACAAUGCACUUAGCGUUUGUCUCCAGUAAUCUUAAAGCAAGGUAAAGUAAGGCGAUAGGUUAGAAGGAGUAUCUCUGAUUAGUUCUGAGCUGCAGCAGGUCUGUAAGCAUGCCCGAUGCCUUCGGACUGGCCAGGCUGAGGGCAGCUGGCACGGUGCCUGCAGCAGCAGCAUUGCAGGGGCACCUCCAGGAGCAGGCACUGGAGGGUAAUGGUGGUAAGUUUGUUUCAAAUUUAGUCUGGUUAUGUCUGCAAGACCUGCAGGUAUGUUUAAUGUUGCCUGAGUGUAAGCCUGGAGCAAGUCCAUGCUGUCUUAGUUAAAUUUGCAAAGUCCGGGCCCAAACAAAAGUCUGUUUUGUUUGUGAUGGGUAAAGGUGCUCUGAGUCCUCUCAGUGUCCGUGGGAUUCACUUGGCUGUAUCAAUGACCCACCAGGCCUGCAAAUGUUUGUACAUUAAAUUGUCUCCUUUUAUCGUUACACCUGUGUGAAAACUGACUGGGGAUCUGCUAACAGACUCUCACUCUGUGGUUCCACAAAGCCCGUGCCAUAAAAGCUGUUGUCCUUUAUUACACUAACCAUCAGCAUCAACAUAUACAAAAGUGCUCAUUUUAAUUUGACUGCUCUUUCCAAAUAGGUGUGCACAGGAAAAGGUCUGAUUCACUGUGUGGGGUCGGCCACAACAUUGGCCUUUUGGGAAACCAUUUGGCUUCUGGACCCUUGUGCAGCUGUUAUCCUGCAAGUGCUGGUCUGGUGGUGUGGGAGCCCCACUGCCCCCUUCGUGCAGUCACAGUGCUGUGUAGUGGAAUUUGCUCUGGGCUUUGUAAAACCCUCCUGUGGGUUAUGCGGGUCUUACCUCCUUCCUCUCUCCUCUUGUUUCAAAGCCAGGAGAAUGUUCAUGAGGUUUUCCAGCCCCAAGGUUAUCGAGUUUUCCAGUCCCAUCAGAAUGACAGGGAAACACACUGGCACAGUGUGUUCAGUCCCAAACACAUGCUGCACUCUGGGAUGUAGAGGAGAGCUGCUUGGGUGCAAGGAGUAAGGAUAGAUCCCUUGCUUCUGCUUUUCUCUCACACCCACACAGCCGCUCAUGUACAUAAGGACGAAGCUCUGAUCCCAUGCCUGUGGCUACCCGGCUUCCUCUCGAAUCACACCACCCACAAUAUAAGCAGGCUUUAAAACUUGGCAUUGAGAAAAACAGAAGUAGAUUUUCCUGCUGGUAAAUUAAUCUGCCAAGGCAGACCCAUCCCUUAUAACAUGAAACUUUAACAAGCUCUUGCAUUGAGAUGCCCUAAUUUGAACAAGGAAAAGUUUGCAGAGAACUGAAACCUGACUUUUCGCUUGGAGAUAAGGCUAUAUACAUCUCUGCCUACAAGCCCACGGGUAUUUAAAAAAACCCACAAAACAAAACAGAAUGUCUUUACAUAUUUAAAUGAAUUAAAAUGAAUCUGCUCUAGAUGAAACAUUCAAUUCUAUUCCUUAACUGAGUUUCUGAGGAGUGAGUUCCACUACAAAAGAAACUUAUUAAAGAAUUAUGAAGACUGUCAAAAACCAUAUGCUUAAAAGCUAGUAAAUAACAAAGUAAGGCUUUUAGUCAUCUUGACUGGACAAGGUGAGGUCAGAAAGAAACAACAACACAUCCGGCACCAUGGCAAUGGGCUUUUCAUGCUUCUUGUCUUUAGCAACUGCUUUUUUAGAGAAGUCUUGCUUUUCCUUGGUCAUACAUUCUCUUCUGUUAAUCAUUGUCUUUACUCUGACCUUCUGAUGUAGAAAUUGUCUUUCAUGCAAUAUUUUACUUGACGUGGUAUGUCUCUUUUUUCUUUGUUUUGCUUUUUUUAACUGAAGCUAUAGUUCCCUCAUUUGGAAGUACAGACAACAGAAUGAAAGAAUAACAUAUUUUAAGCCGCUAGUGAAAUAUUUUCUCAAACAAUGCUAUUUUGGAUAGGUCCUGGGGCUGUCGUUAUUUUCUUGACAUCCAUUUAUACUGAAUCAGUUAAUAAGUCAGAUCCAAUGUCAUGUAAAACAUUUUUCCAUGUUUAUUUUCUUUGCAUUAAUGGCUAUAUUGUAAUUGUACACAAUGCCCUGAGCAAAAUUUAAUUCACUGGCACUGAUUUACAUCUGUAGAACAUGUUCUGAUGGGGAUAGCUGUUGAAAAAUAUUAUGUUUAAAACAUGCACAGCUGUAAAGAACUGAUUGGUUGACAUUUAUUUUUUUCUGUGUGGGAAUGAAUCAUUUGUUAAUUAUUUUAGUUGUUGUUUUUCAUUCCUUAGCAUAUUCUCUUUUCUUCUUUAUAAGUAGGUAAAUGAUCAAUGAUGAUCAGGUGCUGUUCCAUCUUAAAUGCUGUUUGACAGCCUUAGGGUUAACAGAAAUCUCAUUGCAAAAUGUUCAUAAACUUACGGUGACAAGAGCAGAGACUUGCAGUACAGUGCUCAUUCGUGUAACAAUGCAUCUGAAAUUGAACUUAGAAAACAAUGGUAUCUCAACAAUCAGCACUGCAUAUGUUACACAUUUUUUAAGUAAAGCAAAUGGUUUUCCAGAGUGAUCUUGAUGUGUAAACAAGGUAAUUCAUGAAGACAUUAGUGCAAUUUUAUAGAACACGAAUCUCCCCCUCCAAAAUCUAGGCAAGGAAAAUCAAAGUAUGUUUUGUUAUUUUUAAUGGCAAUGGCAUUAAAAAACAAAAAGGCUUAAGUUACUGAAGAGGGCUUUGAUGGCCAGAAUACACUGGAGGGAUGAUAAGGAAAUGCUUUUAAUAAAAUGUAAUGCUUAUUCCUGUCCCUGGGACUAACAUGGUGGUGUAGUUCUGCAGCUUGUAACAUCCAUUUCUGCCUCUCUCUUCUUCCAACUCUUUUACAGCAGCCAAGUAAAUAAUAAAAUAUUCUUAUCCUCACCUUAAUAUAAAAACUCUAAACAUGUAAACAAUAUAUCAUUCAUAAUAAGAAGGCGCUCUAAAACUCAAAAGUUUUGUCUGAGUAUAACUCUGACACAGCUGAAGAAGAUUUUUGACAUAAAUCUCAUGCAUGAGAAAAAAAGAAGAAGAAAAAUAAAGAAAAAAAAUGUUUAACAUAGGCCAUCUGCAAUUUCUGUGCCAGUAGUGAGUUACAUAAUUGUUUUGAAAAUAUACACCAUUCAUUUUAUGUGAAGAUUUAUAUAACCCAAAAGAGACAUCACAUAAAUCAUUUGUACAAAAGGGACCAAUCCAAUUGUGGCCCCGCUGAGUGUGUGAGGUAGUCAUUUCCAAAAUAUGAAGUAUAUUAUAAAAUAACCAAGUUAAUUUCUUAGAUGUUAUAUUAAACUGAUGUACAGUUGCAUACUUAGAGUGACAGAAGUGUUUAACUUUGCUUUCCAAUUGUCUUACCCUAACAGCCUGUGAGGCCUCCUGCCAUAAGAAAUAAAAUAAAUUUUUAAAAAAGUUUAGAAAAAGGGGGAAAAAAGGAAAAAAAUAAGCAGGGAGGAACAGAAGAUUGGAGAAGACGGGAACAAGACAGUAAGGUAGAAAGGAAGCAAAGAAAGAAUGGAGGCAAAGAAUAUGGGCAAAACGUGUGACUAGUAACUCAUACCAUAAUUUUCAAACAAGGAUUCCUAAAUUUUAUUGUGCAUAAUUAUCUCUUCUUGCAAAUUUAAACCUCAAAACUAAUUGUUAGGCAUCACAGGUAGCAUUUACAAAGCAUGUGCAAUGAUCUGUAACAUCUACUUAGUCUGUGGCAUUGAAAAGUCAAACUGUGAGUGUGAAGUAGGACACUUACUUAAUGUCUGCAGUUUAAUCUCCCUUUGUUCAUAGUCUAGUGGUAGCUACCUCUCCUGCUAUAAUUUUAUUUUUCUCAAAUUUUUGCAUGGAAAAGCUGACAGAAAUUUAUUCACAUUUUGUAUGUUUUCCCUAAGAUAAUUACUAUUUCUAGUAGAACUUGUGCACUUUAGCACUGGACAUAAUCAAGAUUAAAAAAAUAAAAUAAAAUAAAACAAAAUAAAAAAUUUAAUGCUGGUUUUGAGAUUUUUAUUUAUUUAUUUAUUUAUUGCAUUUCAAAUCAGAAGAAUAA